CGGGACUCUUAUGAGGCCUCGUAAUCGGAAUGAGUACACUUUAAAUAUUUUAACGAGGAACAAUUGGAGGGCAAGUCUGGUGCCAGCAGCCGCGGUAAUUCCAGCUCCAAUAGCGUAUACUAAAAUUGUUGCGGUUAAAAAGCUCGUAGUUGCAUUUGUGUGUCGCGCUGUCGGUGCACCGCAUCCGCGGUGAUACUGACACGUCUGCGGAACAUAUCGCCGGUGAGGCGCCGGUCAAACGGCGUUUCAAUAUCAAAAUCCUAUCGCGGUGCUCUUCAGUGAGUGUCGAGAUGGGCCGGCAAUUUUACUUUGAACAAAUUAGAGUGCUCAAAGCGGGCUCAAAAUGCUGCUUGAAUAUUUCGUGCAUGGAAUAAUAGAAUAUGAUCUCGGUUCUAUUUUGUUGGUUUUCAGAACUCCGAGGUAAUGAUUAAUAGGGAUAACUGGGGGCAUUCGUAUUGCGACGUUAGAGGUGAAAUUCUUGGAUCGUCGCAAGACGAACAUCAGCGAAAGCAUUUGCCAAAGGUGUUUUCAUCAAUCAAGAACGAAAGUUAGAGGUUCGAAGGCGAUUAGAUACCGCCCUAGUUCUAACCGUAAAUAUGUCAUCUAGCGAUCCGCCGACGUUAAUACAAUGGCUCGGCGGGCAGCUUCCGGGAAACCAAAGAUUUUGGACUCCGGGGGGAGUAUGGUUGCAAAGCUGAAACUUAAAGGAA
rnacentral:rRNA from 1 species